AUUGAACGCUGGCGGCAGGCCUAACACAUGCAAGUCGAACAAGUGGCGGACGGGUGAGUAAUGUCUGGGAAACUGCCUGAUGGAGGGGGAUAACUACUGGAAACGGUAGCUAAUACCGCAUACCAUCAGAUGUGCCCAGAUGGGAUUAGCGUGUGGGUGGGGUAACGGCUCACCAAGGGGACGAUCCCUAGCUGGUCUGAGAGGAUGACCAGGCCCACUGGAACUGUGACACGGUCCAGACUCCUACGGGAGGCAGCAGUGGGGAAUAUUGGACAAUGGGCGCAAGCCUGAUGCAGCCAUGCCGCGUGUAUGAAGAAGGCCUUCGGGUUGUAAAGUACUUGCCUCGGGGAGGCGUUACCCGCAGAAGAAGCCACGGCUAACUCCGUGCCAGCAGCCGCGGUAAUAC
rnacentral:rRNA from 1 species